rnacentral:sRNA from 1 species
UGAAGCAACAAGGAGGUAUGACGGUGAUAACUCCGCAGUUAAGCGUGCUUGGGCGAGAGUAGUACUAGGAUGGGUGACCCCCUGUGAAGAUCUCGUGUUGCAACCA